rnacentral:rRNA from 1 species
UACGUAGGGGGCAAGCGUUGUCCGGAAUCAUUGGGCGUAAAGCGCGCGUAGGCGGACCUGCAAGUCGGGGGUGAAAGCCCGAGGCUCAACCUCGGAACUGCCUUCGAUACUGCGGGUCUCGAGUCCGGGAGAGGUGAGUGGAAUUCCUAGUGUAGAGGUGAAAUUCGUAGAUAUCAGGAGGAACACCGGUGGCGAAGGCGGGUCUCUGGGCCGAUACUGACGCUGAGGAGCGAAAGCGUGGGGAGCGAACAGG